GUGAUCGAGAAGGACCUGCCCGCUUACCUGUAGGCCCGGCUCCCCCGUUGUCGUGUCCCGCAACUUGCCCCUCCGCUUUCCCGGGACGCUCUGCCUCCAUGACGGCCGGCCUUCAAGCCAAAACCAGUUGGUGGGGCCGGCCUGAACAAACCGGCACGGGCUCCCGGGGACGGGAUGGUGGCGGACGUUGUGGCCGGCACGCUCGGCGGCACCGCAGCUCUGUAGCAAUAAACGUCUCGUUGUUUCUCUCAUCAUUGGGUGGCUUGAUUCUGUUCUGGAUGGGAAACGGGGGUCUCACAUUCUCCCUUGGGGUCUCUUCCAACUCUAGUAUUAUUAUUACUAUUAUUACUAUUAUUAUUAUCGGAGACUGGGUGGACAUCUGUUGGAAGAGCUUUGAUUGUACAUUUCCUGUAUGACAGCUGUUGGACUGGAUGGCCCUUGGGGUGUCUUCUAUUAUUAUUAUUAUUAUUAUUAUUAUUAUUAUCGGAGACUGGGUGGACAUCUGUUGGGAGUGCUUUGAUUGUACAUUUCCUGUAUGACAGCUGUUGGACUGGAUGGCCCUUGGGGUGUCUUCUAUUAUUAUUAUUAUUAUUAUUAUUAUUAUUAUUAUUAUUAUUAUUAUUAUUAUUGGAGACUGGACUGACAUCUGUUGGGAGUGCUUUGAUUGUACAUUUCCUGUAUGACAGCUGUUGGACUGAAUGGCCCUUGGGGUGUCUUUUAUUAUUAUUAUUAUUAUUAUUAUUAUUAUUAUUAUUAUUAUCGGAGACUGGGUGGACAUCUGUUGGGAGUGCUUUGAUUGUACAUUUCCUGUAUGACAGCUGUUGGACUGGAUGGCCCUUGGGGUGUCUUCUAUUAUUAUUAUUAUUAUUAUUAUUAUUAUUAUUAUUAUUAUUAUUAUUGGAGACUGGACUGACAUCUGUUGGGAGAGCUUUGAUUGUGCAUUUCCUGUAUGACAACUGUUGGACUGGAUGGCCCUUGGGGUGUCUUUUAUUAUUAUUAUUAUUAUUAUUAUUAUUAUUAUUAUUAUUAUUAUUAUUGUAUGAUACAGAAAACAAGAUAGAUAUGCUGGAUUUCAUUUCACAAAAUCACAAGUCGAACAUUUCCCUGUCGGAAGUCUCUUUCAAGUCUAUUAUUAUUAUUAUUAUUAUUAUUAUUAUUAUUAUUAUCUAUCGGAGACUGGAUGGACAGCUGUUGGGAGUGCUUUGAUUGUGCCUUUCCUGUAUGGCAAGGGUUGGACUGGAAGGCCCUUGGAAGUCUCUUCCAACUCUUUAUUAUUAUUAUUAUUAUUAUUAUUAUUAUUAUUAUUAUUGGAGACUGGAUGAGCAUCUGUUGGGAGUGCUUUGAUUGUGCCUUUCCUGUAUGGCAAGGGUUGGACUGGAAGGCCCUUGGAAGUCUCUUCCAACUCUCUAUUAUUAUUAUUAUUAUUAUUAUUAUUAUUAUUAUU
rnacentral:lncRNA from 1 species